rnacentral:lncRNA from 1 species
GUGGCUAUGUCAGGGCUCAAGCGAGGCUUAUGGAAUGAGCGCUUCGCCUUCUCCCUCGAUAAGAAGUUCCCAAAAAACUAUGCUGAUCUGCUGGCCCGAGCUUGAAAGUACACCUAGGUGGAGGAAGCUCGGGAUCUCCGCAAGCAGGCGGAAGGAAGGAAGAUCUCCGGCAAGAAGAGGAGUCGGGAAGAUCCUCGAGUGCCUCGAAUCGAGAGAGAAUCUUCUUGAUCGCAAAAGAGCUAUAGUCUGAGGAGUCCUCCCGACGAUUCAAUAGCUACACUCCUCUGUUCACCCCUCGAUCUCGGAUUUUGAUGGAGAUCGAAGGCCAAAGAUAUCUGUGGUGACUAGGACCGAUGAAGUUUCCCUCAGAUAGGAGCCAGAGGAGAU